AGCGAACGCUGGCGGCAGGCCUAACACAUGCAAGUCGAACGGAUCCUUCGGGAUUAGUGGCGGACGGGUGAGUAACACGUGGGAACGUGCCCUUUGGUUCGGAACAACUCAGGGAAACUUGAGCUAAUACCGGAUGUGCCCUUCGGGGGAAAGAUUUAUCGCCAUUGGAGCGGCCCGCGUCUGAUUAGCUAGUUGGUGAGGUAACGGCCCACCAAGGCGACGAUCAGUAGCUGGUCUGAGAGGAUGAUCAGCCACACUGGGACUGAGACACGGCCCAGACUCCUACGGGAGGCAGCAGUGGGGAAUCUUGCGCAAUGGGCGAAAGCCUGACGCAGCCAUGCCGCGUGAAUGAUGAAGGUCCUAGGAUUGUAAAAUUCUUUCAGCGGGGACGAUAAUGACGGUACCCGCAGAAGAAGCUCCGGCUAACUUCGUG
rnacentral:rRNA from 1 species